CGAUAAAGUCGGCAAAGAGGGUGGUGUUAGUACGGCAUGGGCAGAGUACAUGGAAUGCGGAGGGAAGAAUUCAAGGGAGCUCCAAUUUCUUAGUUUUAACUACUAAAGGUGAAUCUCAGGCUGAAACUUCUCGUCAAAUGCUUCUUGAUGAUUCCUUUGACGUCUGCUUCACUAGUCCCCUGGCUAGAUCAAAGCGAACUGCUGAAAUUAUCUGGGGUAACCGUAAGGAGCCAAUGAUCCCAAAUUUCGACCUGAGGGAAAUAGAUUUGUAUUCUUUUCAAGGGCUCUUGAAACAUGAGGGGAAGGAGAAAUUUG